GCCGCAUCAAGGGACACCGCCACCAUCCUUCAUCGCGGUCGACCGCCGCCGCCACCAGGCCGACCCCGUCCUUCAUCGCCAGGUUUGCCUUGUAUUGCUUCGCCAGCGAGCGCCGCCGCCACCAGGUCGACCCCGUACUGCAGCGCGGAUGACCGGCGCCUCAACCAGGUUGCCAGGUUGGCCCCGUCCUGCAUAGGCCGCCACCAAUCACGCCAGGUUUCAGGUUUGGAUUUGUGGUGAAGUGCUUAGGCCUAGAUCGAGCCCAGCCGCCAUGCGCGGCCACGGGCAGCGGGACACUCACCACACAGCACCCUCCACCGCGUGCCCUCCGCAUCGCCACCACGCGCCCUCCCUGUACCUCCACACCGCAGCACUGGCCAUGGCCGUCGUGAUGAGGCAGUGCGGGAGAGAUAGACCCUGCCUCCGUUGGCGGCAGCGCGAGCUAAGCCGUGUCUUCCGAUAGAGGCGGAGGGUAGAGAGGAGGGAAGGAAGCCGCCUGGUGGGUGCCGCCUGACGGGAAGAAGAUAAUAUUGCCUGGUAGUGGAGAUGUUCCAUAUAUGGAUCGUGCUUGUAAUUAGGGCUUUCUGAAGAAAUGGAGAUGGUUUGCUACUAAUAAUUAGGACUUCCAGAAAUAGUACUAGAAAAAGAAUACAAAUAUGGUCAACCAUCCAGGCAAUUGAAGCAAAUAUCCUCAUUACAGAACCUACAGUACUUUCCAUGUGCUCUGGGUUUAGAGAUGACUCUGAAUAUUGCCACUCCGUUUGUAUCUUAACUUGUUGCCGGCAAUAUAGCUGACCACUUACAAACGAGAUA